UUUGAUCCUGGCUCAGAUUGAACGCUGGCGGCAGGCCUAACACAUGCAAGUCGAGCGGUAACAGGGAGUAGCUUGCUACUCCGCUGACGAGCGGCGGACGGGUGAGUAAUGUCUGGGAAACUGCCUGAUGGAGGGGGAUAACUACUGGAAACGGUAGCUAAUACCGCAUAACGUCUUCGGACCAAAGUGGGGGACCUUCGGGCCUCAUGCCAUCAGAUGUGCCCAGAUGGGAUUAGCUAGUAGGUGGGGUAACGGCUCACCUAGGCGACGAUCCCUAGCUGGUCUGAGAGGAUGACCAGCCACACUGGAACUGAGACACGGUCCAGACUCCUACGGGAGGCAGCAGUGGGGAAUAUUGCACAAUGGGCGCAAGCCUGAUGCAGCCAUGCCGCGUGUAUGAAGAAGGCCUUCGGGUUGUAAAGUACUUUCAGCGAGGAGGAAGGCAUUAAGGUUAAUAACCUUAGUGAUUGACGUUACUCGCAGAAGAAGCACCGGCUAACUCCGUGCCAGCAGCCGCGGUAAUACGGAGGGUGCAAGCGUUAAUCGGAAUUACUGGGCGUAAAGCGCACGCAGGCGGUCUGUCAAGUCGGAUGUGAAAUCCCCGGGCUCAACCUGGGAACUGCAUUCGAAACUGGCAGGCUAGAGUCUUGUAGAGGGGGGUAGAAUUCCAGGUGUAGCGGUGAAAUGCGUAGAGAUCUGGAGGAAUACCGGUGGCGAAGGCGGCCCCNNGACAAA
rnacentral:rRNA from 1 species